AUGAGGACACCCUGGGGAGCUCUGCUGGGAAUCCUGUGGCUCCAGAUUUGUUGGGUGAGAGGGAUGACGGUGGAGCAGAGCCCUUCAGUCCUGAGCCUCCAGGAGGGAGCCAGCUCUAUUCUGAAGUGCAAUUUUUCUAGCAGUCCAUACAGUGUGCAGUGGUUCCGACAGCACCCCAAGGGCAGCAGCCUCAUCCGGCUGUUUUACAUAGCUUCAGGGAUGCAGCACAGUGGGAGGUUAAACUGCACAGUGAAUACUAAGGAGCAGUCCAGCACCCUCCACAUCACGGCUUCCCAACUGGAAGACUCAGCCACCUACCUGUGUGCUGUGGAGGCACACAUCAUUCCCAGUUUGGAAAAGGGAGCAGAAAUCCUCCAGGACAACAAUAAAAGAACCCUUCUCAUUGUCGCCAUGGACAAAGACUGUUGA